AUUGAACGCUGGCGGCAGGCCUAACACAUGCAAGUCGAGCGGAUGAAGGGAGCUUGCUCUCUGAUUCAGCGGCGGACGGGUGAGUAAUGCCUAGGAAUCUGCCUGGUAGUGGGGGACAACGUUUCGAAAGGAACGCUAAUACCGCAUACGUCCUACGGGAGAAAGCAGGGGCCCUUCGGGCCUUGCGCUAUCAGAUGAGCCUAGGUCGGAUUAGCUAGUUGGUGAGGUAAUGGCUCACCAAGGAGACGAUCCGUAACUGGUCUGAGAGGAUGAUCAGUCACGCUGGAACUGAGACACGGUCCAGACUCCUACGGGAGGCAGCAGUGGGGAAUAUUGGACAAUGGGCGAAAGCCUGAUCCAGCCAUGCCGCGUGUGUGAAGAAGGUCUUCGGAUUGUAAAGCACUUUAAGUUGGGAGGAAGGGUUGCUGAUUAAUACUCUGCAAUUUUGACGUUACCGACAGAAUAAGCACCGGCUAACUCUGUGCCAGCCGCCGCGGUAAAAC
rnacentral:rRNA from 1 species